UUGUAAUCAUCUUUCAAUUAAUAUGAAUAAGGAGUUAAUUACACAAAUCUAAUCACUACAGUGGUAACGACCAAAGAAGUUAGGUAAUUCGAUUUAACCUAACUUCUUCCCUCUUUCACCCAAUUGCUCCCCGUCCGGCGAACUGCUGUCACCGAAUUUCGUGCGUUCUCCUGAAACAAAGCGCACUCACGAUUUAACAUGGUAUCUGCCGGUAGUAUCGGCCGUGUUUUCGCUAAUCAAGGAGAAGAAGAACUCAUUGUCGUCCAGAAUGAAGAAGAAAACCAAUCAGGGUCGUCGAGCUCUUCUCCAUCUUCUCCACCGUCAAUUAUGCAUUCUCCUCGCCGCAAGUCACGUUCGUCCUCCAAGCAUCGACGAAAGAGUCAUCAU
rnacentral:lncRNA from 1 species